rnacentral:rRNA from 1 species
UACGUAGGGUGCAAGCGUUGUCCGGAAUUAUUGGGCGUAAAGAGCUCGUAGGCGGUCUGUCGCGUCUGCUGUGAAAAUCCGGGGCUCAACCCCGGACUUGCAGUGGGUACGGGCAGGCUAGAGUGUGGUAGGGGAGACUGGAAUUCCUGGUGUAGCGGUGGAAUGCGCAGAUAUCAGGAGGAACACCGAUGGCGAAGGCAGGUCUCUGGGCCACUACUGACGCUGAGAAGCGAAAGCAUGGGGAGCGAACAGG